UUAUUCUCCUCUGGAGAUCAUUGACCUGCUAACACAGGUCUCUACAGCAGGUUGCACAGGUGGGCGUCCAGGUGGGUCUUGAAUAUCUCCAGAGAAGGAGACCACCACCUCUUCGGACAGCCUGUGUCAAAGCCAAUUAGCAGGAGGAUCUCUGAUCCUGCCCUAGCUUCUCUUUAGAUUGAAAGGAAUAAACGUUUCUGCUGAGAUGGGUUAAAAUAUCCAUCGUGAACGCUGGAUUGGAAGGCAGAAGGAUGGCUGCGUCUGGAAGAACCCGGAUGGUGUGUAAAGGAUGUUCCACAAAUGAAGAAGGAAGACAGGGAGAUACAGAGAAGAAAAGUAAUGAAUGGAAGGUUUCCUUGUUCUUUUUUGCUCCUCACAUUGCACAGCCUGCAAUGUGCAGAAAGGAGUGUGAUUCACACAGAGGCGGCGUGCUGUAGAGAAAGUACAGACAUUAAACCCAGAUUAUCACAUAAACUCCACACACUGAGUUCUGAUGUGCACCUUAGUGGAAGAAGAGACUUCUACCACAGAAACGUAUCAUCAGCCCUCUACUUCUCCCUAUGACAAAUCACACUGCUAUGCCUUGCAUUUGAACACACAGGCUUCCAGUGAGUUAUUUACCCCUCUCCGUGUGACACCUUCGUUAAUUUACCCUGGAACCCACUCACCUGACCCUACAGAUCUCUGCAUUUAUACCACACUCCCAUCAGAAACUGGGUGAGCAGCUUUACGUGAAGGGUAGCAAUUGAAAAGAGCCGCCGCCGCCACCGCAGAGUUCAUCAGUACGCAUUACAGAAGGAAGGCCACACAUUUCAACUGUUACUUGUAUGUUGCACCAUCGCGAUGCAUGAUUCACAUCGCAAUAGUAGCAUUAACGUCCAAUAAAGUCAUAAGCUGCUCUGUUCUAUAAAAUACCACGGUGCCACCCUUAGAUGCCUGAAAUUCAAGCAGCGAGACAGAAAAGAGGUGUGGAAAUUAAACUAGUAACUGUGAAUCAAAUUAUUAAAUAAUUCUCCCAAGGUCGCUCAAGGCAAAGCGAAGCAGGAAACCCAGCUCUUCUGGCUCUUCCUCUAGCCAUUAACCACAGCAUCCUCUCUCCCUUGCCUCCCAGGCAGUGUAUCUGACAUGCCUUUUGCUUCCUGCCUUCCUCCUCCUUCACGUUGACCGGUUGCGUCAUUCCUAAGGGCAGUUUAUUUCCUAAUCCGUGUCACAUUUGGCAUACACCGCCUGCACCUAUCCAUUUUAGCUAUCCAUUUUCAUCAUCCACCGGUCCAUCUCCUGU
ensembl:lncRNA